UUGUAAAAAAGCCAACUUCAAUGUCUAUCUUUUGUUAUACCGAAAUAACAGCAAAAUGACGAAAAGCUACUGUGUUGUUCAAUGUACAUGUAAACAGGUACAAAAUCCAGACCUACGGUUCGCAAUGCUCCCACGUAGGGAAAUAGAGCCUGCGAAAAGAGCCCUGAGGCUACAAGCUAUUCAGUGUGGGGGAGCGGGAAAAUGUUGGGAGCCGGGGUCCAAGUAGGCUACACAUAGCUACAGUGUGUAUGUGAAUCACAGGCGGCUGCCCACAGGAAGUGAAUGGAGUGCGGCGGCAUGGUGGAUUCCAGGUUUUGCUAGUGCAUGUAGGGCUUCGUUUGGUGAGCACAUGGCCAAUGGAGGUUGUUAAAGAGGAAAUGGAAGUCUUGAGAAGAUGGACACUGCCUCUUGGGCUGCACCACUUCCUGUGCCCCUUUGUUUUCUCUUGAUUUAUUUGUUUUGGUUUGUAUGAUCAUUUUAACUUGCAUGGUUUUAGAGUAAAAAGUUAAGUAAAUUAUUUUUCUGAAAACAAAGCAAUUGAAUGGAAAUGAGAACCUGGAAUGUGUUUGAAAUAGAAAUAUGGGAACCAUG